AGUAGGAUAGCUAGGUCAAAUGGUUCCGUUCCAAGUUUUUGAGGAAUCUCCACAAUGCUUUCCAAAGUGGUUGCACCAAUUUGCAGUUUCACUAGCAAC
rnacentral:pre_miRNA from 1 species